rnacentral:rRNA from 1 species
AUUGAACGCUGGCGGCAGGCCUAACACAUGCAGGUCGAACGGUAACAGGAAACAGCUUGCUGUUUCGCUGACGAGUGGCGGACGGGUGAGUAAUGUCUGGGAAACUGCCUGAUGGAGGGGGAUAACUACUGGAAACGGUAGCUAAUACCGCAUAACGUCGCAAGACCAAAGAGGGGGACCUUCGGGCCUCUUGCCAUCGGAUGUGCCCAGAUGGGAUUAGCUAGUAGGUGGGGUAACGGCUCACCUAGGCGACGAUCCCUAGCUGGUCUGAGAGGAUGACCAGCCGCACUGGAACUGAGACACGGUCCAGACUCCUACGGGAGGCAGCAGUGGGGAAUAUUGCACAAUGGGCGCAAGCCUGAUGCAGCCAUGCCGCGUGUAUGAAGAAGGCCUUCGGGUUGUAAAGUACUUUCAGCGGGGAUGAAGGGAGUAAAGUUAAUACCUUUGCUCAUUGACGUUACCCGCAGAAGAAGCACCGGCUAACUCCGUG